CCUACGGGGGACAGCAGUGAGGAAUAUUGGUCAAUGGACGAGAGUCUGAACCAGCCAAGUAGCGUGAAGGAUGACUGCCCGAUGGGUUGUAAACUUCUUUUAUAUGGGAAUAAAAUGUUCCACGUGUGGGAUGUUGUAUGUACCAUAUGAAUAAGGAUCGGCUAACUCCGUACCAGCAGCCGCGGUAAUACGGAGGAUCCGAGCGUUAUCCGGAUUUAUUGGGUUUACAGGGAGCGUAGGUGGAUUGUUAAGUCAGUUGUGAAAGUUUGCGGCUCAACCGUAAAAUUGCCGUUGAAACUGGCAGUCUUGUGUACAGUAGAGUUGGGCGGACUUCGUGUUGUAGCGGU
rnacentral:rRNA from 1 species